UAAUCCCUGCCGUGUUCGUGAUUGGAAGUUACUCUUUGAUCCAACAUUCAUUUAACGGGAGCUGUCCCUGGUUUUGGUGUGCAUGUUCUGAUUAUACAGAAAAGCCUGAAGAAGCUAUAUGGCGCCCACUUUGAACCAUGGUUCAAAGACCUGCCAACACGGCAUUAUGGCGGGGGUUCU
rfam:Desulfobacteraceae bacterium 4572_123 ex4572_123_scaffold_798, whole genome shotgun sequence.